CAGCACCUGCCAGAUCAGACAUAUCAAGAUGUUCUCCCAGGCUCAGCUUCUCUGGUUACUGGCGCUGUGGAUUCCAGGCUCCUAUGGGCAGGUCACAAUGACUCAGUCUCCAGAAUCCCUCUCGGUGUCUCCGGGAGAAAAAGUCACCAUUAGAUGUACAGCCAGUUCUAGCCUUGAUAGCGACUAUAUCUCUUGGUACCAACAGAAACCUGGACAAGCUCCUAAACUUCUUAUCUAUAGAGCCUCCUACCGUGCCUCCAGGGUCCCAGCCCAGUUCAGUGGCAGUGGGUCUGGCACCGUUUACACUCUCUCAAUCAGCAGCGUUGAAGCCAAUGAUGCAGCAGAUUACUAUUGUCUGCAGACUGAUAGCUCACCUCCCACAGUGAUACAGACCAAUACAAAAACCUCUCUGGUCUGGGUGUUUGCAAAUGCAGAUUUCUGUGAAGACAAUCACACUGUCAGUGUAAUUGAUGCCCCUCCUCACCUGCAGUUCAGACUGUGCCAACAGGAUCAGGGUGCUCAGAUGGCAUCAAACAAACUUGUCACUCCUCCAGCAGAGACUGGACCAUCUGAAAUGCCCAACACAGAAAGCCGUGUAGCGUUACUGUUGGAUGUGUUUGGCACUUCACUGAACAAACACAGACAGGAACCCUGCUCCGAAGAGCUGACAGUCCCUGAUCCUGCUAACACUUCUAAUGUCACUAAUUUACGA